AAGAACAAAAAGUUUUGAUUUUUUUUUUGCCUUGAUAUAGUGGUUUUGUUUUUCGACAAAAAUUGUAGUGGUUUCUAGCAGAAAAAAAAAUGGGCAAUUCUUAAAAAUAACCCUAAGAAACUAAAUUUUUUCAUAAAAAGCUUCUAUUCUUCAAUUUGACAAAUCUAGCAUUCCUCUUCACCCUCCCGUAUCUUUCAGAGAGAGAAACUUUCUCCCUUUUGACCUAGUUCGGUUAAUAAUUUCCGUUUAUCGGAUUUCUUUUCUUCCGACCAUAUUCGGAUUUAGUUUUUGUUUUGUUUGGUUGUUUUAUUUUCUUUUACUUCUGCAAGAUCUUAACUAUCUUCGUUGGAGAUAAUCCUGAGUGAGAUCGUGACAUCCAUGAGUCCACAGGUUUGUUCGAUUCCUAAUCAGCGAAAGUAAAUCCUUCAUACCCUUGUUGGGGCCGUAAUCGGCGUUGGAUGAAGGUUUCUCGUAAAAGUUGUGAAUCGUGGUGGUUGAUUUGCGUCGAUUUGGCUUGAACAGUCUCGGAGAGCGUGUUUACCGAAGCAGUGGUAAUAGCAGUGCCAUAGUGAUCGGUAUGCUACAAGCGUUGACGGUGAAGGACGCCGGCGGCGACGGAGUGGCGCUGCAUCAACAUCACUUCUCAGCCUCACACGUGUUUCUCAAGUCGGUGUAUGUGAUACACGUAUUGUAACACGUGUCGAUGGACUGUAGUUGGUCAUUGGGCUUAGUUUGAUUUUGUUGUAUUGGGCCUAUUAUGUGAUGUUGUACUCUGCUUUUCCAUUUGGACUUUCGUUUAAUACGAACGACGACAAAAAAAAAA
rnacentral:lncRNA from 1 species